ensembl:lncRNA
AGCCAGACGAGCGACCAACACAGCGACCAAUGCGACCAACACAGCGACCAAUGCGACCAACACAGCGACCAAUGCGACCUAUGUCGCGACCAAUGCGACCUACGUCGCGACCAAUGCGACCUACGUCGCGACCAAUGCGACCUACGUCGCGACCAAUGCGACCUACGUCGCGACCAAUGCGACCUACGUCGCGACCAAUGCGACCUAUGUCGCGACCAGAGUGGUAGAUACAACAGAGUGGCGACACUGCCAUUGGACUCCGUUGUAGCGCCUUCUUCCGGGGUAUGGAGCCUCGAAUAGUUCCAAACAACCAUUUUACGGCGUAGGAGAUCAUCCAUUUCCAUUGCUGGCCGUCGAGUAACUUCUGAGGUAAAUUGAUUAAAUAGCUUCCUCUUUUGAAUUGUCAACCGUCUAUAUUGUAUCAGAGGCCCUUUAUGAUGCAUAGACUGAUAUUUAUUUGUAAAUGCACAGCGUAAUUAUAUAUAUAUUUAUCUUGGUAGACGACCGAUUGCCUGCUAGUUUGUUAGCUCGACUUCACCACCUGUGAAGUUAUAUCCAGGGGUAAAUUGAUUAAAUAGCUACCUCUUUUGAAUUGUCAACUGUCUAUUGUAUUAGAGGUCCUUUUAUGAUGCAUAUACUGAUAUUUAUUUGAAUAUGCAUGGCGUAAUUAUAUAUAUAUUUGUCUUGGUAGACGACCGAUUGCCUGCUAGUUUGUUAGCUCGACUUCACCACCUGUGAAGGUAUCUCCGUGGGUAAAUUGAUUAAAUAGCUACCUCUUUUGAAUUGUCAACUGUCUAUUGUAUUAGAGGUCCUUUUAUGAUGCAUAUACUGACAUUUAUUUGUAUAUGCACAGCGUAAUUAUAUAUAUUUUGCCUGCUGGUUUGUGAGCUCGACUUCGCCAUGUGAAGGUUGAUAUUCAGCACAUGAAGCCCUACAGAUGCCGCCGCUUCAACAAUGCUGAUUAUGAUGGGCGGUGAAUUUAACCUUUGCCUUAUUAGGUCCUUCACAGUCGCCCCAUCAGUCCCUGGAGCAGUCUGGUCCCUGGAGCAGUCUGGUCCCUGGAGCAGUCUGGUCCCUGGAGCAGACUGGUCCCUGGAGCAGCUGGCCCUGGAGCAGCUGGCCCUGGAGCAGCUGGCCCUGAAUCACCUGCCCCUGGCAAAGUGGCCUCUUGAUUGCUCUCCUGUCAUGUCCUUUUCAUCGCUCUUGAAAUCCACCUCAAUUUCUCCCUCAAUCUCUGUAAUAAUUACAAGGUAAUGUUGCUGUUAUAUGUAUUUUGCCUUUGCAUUUGCAACUACUGUCAUCUCCAAUGUAAGCCAAUGUAAGAAAAUUAAUUAAAGCAAAUCAUUUCUGUAAUGUGAGUUAAAUCAUCUGCCACAAUCAGAAACCAAUAAAAUUUAUAAAUGGAUCUACCGGCAAUUGUUAAUUGGGUAGAAAUGUGUCGAUUAUCUACAUUGUGUGCAAAUCCUCAGAGAAUCCCUGACCUCUGGUUGUUUUUUAAACUGAAUUUACAAAUAUGAAUUAUGUAAUCUCAUUAGGAGUGUAGUCUAUCCUUGAAUUACAUGAAAUGGGGAAUAUUGUUAGCCGCAUGGAUCAUACCGAAGUUUAAUUUGGUGAAAUAUGUGUGGUCCGUUGCACUUGGUUCUGGAGGCACCCUCACAGAAGGGGGUUUCCUCCUCUUCGGCUUAGGGCGAUGAAUGAAAACUGUUGGGACUGCAUCGGGCCUCAGCUUCAACAUCCCUUCUCUAUUUGUGGCAGUGAAUUGGUCAUCUUCAAAGUGUACCUUAUAGGUAGGCUUGUAAGAUCAGUUUCCAUUGCACUUCAAAUAUCCUUGAAAAGUCAUAAUUCUCUACACUAGAAUUAUUAUGCCCUUUGAAAUGCUAUCAAUUGAUGGGAACAUUACUUACAUUACGUAGUUUUUGACGGUUGCUGACCCCUGUCACUUGUACGUUUUGCGAUUUGACCAUUGCCAUCCAUUUCUUCCUGCGCUCUUGGUCCUUGGGGAAGCCAUACAUGUGGUAACCCUUCUCGGACCGAUUGGAGCAUCCAAACGCUGCACAGCCAACCAUGGUAUGACCAUUGAUCUAAACCAAUUUUGAAUUUGCUCAGGGCUAUUAUAAGUAUUGUAAUGGCAUAAAGUAUAGUAUAUUUGCAACGUUAUAUGCUAAUGGUUUGCCCUAAGUAUAUUAUAUAGUGUUCCCUGCUGUGUCCAUUGUUGAAUCUGUUCACACAAUCACACUCACUUGUUCUUGUCGCACUAAUUGUUUAAUAAAAAAAAAAACUUUCAUUCAUCCAAGCGUAAUGAGUUGUUAUUCUUUAAUAUAUUUGAUACUUUGUGUGGCUCAUACAUUAAAAUGAUCAUGGUAAAACAUUUUGAUUACUUUGAUUUCAAUACAGAUGUAGGGUAAAAGUUAAGGUUAAGCCAGUAUGCUAACACGAACGUGAAGGUUUCCCUCAAACUUAAAAACGUAUCCAAGUAAUACUUAGAGAUAGCUUUCAGUUGUCCCCCUAGCACUCUAAAUGUAAAACUGACAUUAACAAAUAUGCAAUAAUGCCAUAACAGUCAGACAAAUACUUGUAUGUGUUUUUUUCAUUCAUAUUUACCAUUCAAUAUUGAAAUCUCUGCUGUAGUCCCAUAGAAUAACAUUGAUUGCGCGGCGUGUUUGGAACUAUUGAGGCUUACAUGAACCACGUGACAACCACGUGACCACCCUGUCGGCGAGAUCAUAGCGUGUCGCGACCAAUGCGACCUACGUCGCGACGCGUUUCUUCCUCAAGUACGUAAGGUAACAUAGCAACUACGCACGGCUCAUCAGUAAAUCAGCGUAAGGGGGAACAGGAACUGGGGGGAACCAAAUCGAGUGCUACAACGGCAGGCUUAACCGCGGAUGAACGAAUGGCGGCUCACCUGACCGCAGUUCCAGAAAUUCUCUCAAAUGCGCAGCUUUCGGUUCAAACCAGUUCUGAUCGUGUUAUUUUUCCUCUUCUGGCAAUAAAGCUUGAACCAUUUCUUGUAAUUCAAUAAAUCCUUUUAGGUAGCACAAAAGUUUUAAAACAGAUUCUUUAACUUCUUCCCUUGUAUCGCCAGCUUCCAUAAGAGCAACUUAUUUCAUUACAUCUCCUUGUUAGACAUCCAAGCCUUCCUCUGUGAGUUCCGAUCAAUUUAAACAAUGUCUUUUCUUUCUCAAUCAUCCUCAUCUCCCCUUCGAUUUCCUCUUCGCUUUCCACUUGAUCUGCCAUAUUUGAACUUUAUACUUUAGUAAGAAUAGUGAUCAAACUUGUCAUGCGGGUGUGGCGGCCCGUGUGGCACCCGAUUUGGUUCCCCAUUGGAAUUGCUGUUCCCCCUUGAAACGCCAUGUUAAAUGACUCCGCCCACAGGACCAAGCCAGAACAACUGGAUCCACGGAAAGCCAAGUGGUACAAAAUGAUUGACGAUUUGCGUGAGAUGGAACGCGAAAACGCG